GAUGAACGCUAGCUACAGGCUUAACACAUGCAAGUCGAGGGGAAACGACAUCGAAAGCUUGCUUUUGAUGGGCGUCGACCGGCGCACGGGUGAGUAACGCGUAUCCAACCUGCCCAUCACUUGGGGAUAACCUUGCGAAAGUAAGACUAAUACCCAAUGAUAUCUCUAGAAGACAUCUGAAAGAGAUUAAAGAUUUAUCGGUGAUGGAUGGGGAUGCGUCUGAUUAGCUUGUUGGCGGGGUAACGGCCCACCAAGGCAACGAUCAGUAGGGGUUCUGAGAGGAAGGUCCCCCACAUUGGAACUGAGACACGGUCCAAACUCCUACGGGAGGCAGCAGUGAGGAAUAGUGGUCAAGGGGCGAGAGCCUGAACCAGCCAAGUAGCGUGCAGGAAGACGGCCCUAUGGGUUGUAAACUGCUUUUAUAAGGGAAUAAAGUGAGAGUCGUGACUCUUUUUGUAUGUACCUUAUGAAUAAGGACCGGCUAAUUCCGUG
rnacentral:rRNA from 1 species